UACAGAGGUCCCGAGCGUUGUCCGGAUUUACUGGGCGUAAAGAGCGCGCAGGCGGCCAAGUCAGUCGAAUGUGAAAGCCCCCGGCUUAACUGGGGAGGGUCAUUCGAUACUGCUCGGCUCGAAGACAGGAGAGGGAAGCGGAAUUCCCGGUGUAGUGGUGAAAUGCGUAGAUAUCGGGAGGAACACCAGUGGCGAAGGCGGCUUUCUGGCCUGUUCUUGACGCUGAGGCGCGAAAGCUAGGGGAGCAAACAGG
rnacentral:rRNA from 1 species